rnacentral:rRNA from 1 species
GUGUGAAGAAGGCCCUCGGGUUGUAAAGCACUUUCAGCGAGGAAGAACGCCUGUCGGUUAAUACCCGGCAGGAAAGACAUCACUCGCAGAAGAAGCACCGGCUAACUCCGUGCCAGCAGCCGCGGUAAUACGGAGGGUGCAAGCGUUAAUCGGAAUUACUGGGCGUAAAGCGCGCGUAGGUGGCUUGAUAAGCCGGUUGUGAAAGCCCCGGGCUCAACCUGGGAACGGCAUCCGGAACUAUUAGGCUAGAGUGCAGGAGAGGAAGGUAGAAUUCCCGGUGUAGCGGUGAAAUGCGUAGAGAUCGGGAGGAAUACCAGUGGCGAAGGCGGCCUUCUGGACUGACACUGACACUGAGGUGCGAAAGCGUGGGUAGCAAACAGGAUUAGAUACCCUGGUAGUCCACGCCGUAAACGAUGUCGACCAGCCGUUGGGUGCCUAGCGCACUUUGUGGCGAAGUUAACGCGAUAAGUCGACCGCCUGGGGAGUACGGCCGCAAGGUUAAAACUCAAAUGAAUUGACGGGGGCCCGCACAAGCGGUGGAGCAUGUGGUUUAAUUCGAUGCAACGCGAAGAACCUUACCUACCCUUGACAUCCUGCGAACUUGUGAGAGAUCACUUGGUGCCUUCGGGAGCGCAGAGACAGGUGCUGCAUGGCUGUCGUCAGCUCGUGUUGUGAAAUGUUGGGUUAAGUCCCGUAACGAGCGCAACCCUUGUCCCUAUUUGCCAGCGAUUCGGUCGGGAACUCUAGGGAGACUGCCGGUGACAAACCGGAGGAAGGUGGGG